CUGAAACCGAACAAAGAUAGCGAGGUUGUCGCUGUGAAAUUACCAUGCCAUAUUUGAAAGUGGCAAGGUGUUCGCUUUUAGUUACAGAGGGAACAAGAUGGGUCCUAUAACGCCCACACCCACCAUGGACAUCAUCAAUGAUCUCAUUGAAGAGGCCAAGCUCCGUCUUCUCUGGUGGGCUCUUUGUAUAUUCGCCAUUUCCUAUUUCUUCACUCAUACAAGUAAAUCUAUGUGGAUGAAUCUUCCCAUGUCCAUUCUGUUUGUUGCUGCUCUGCGCAUUCUUUUGAACAAGGUGGAAUUCCGUUGGAAGGUUCAGCCACCAAGAUUACAAACUUAUUUAUCUCAUUUGGAGAAAAAUCAGCUGCCUCUGAAUGAUGAACGACUCUCUUCUUCACCUCCCCCUCCCCCUCCCAAAUGGAAGAAGAUUGACUCUCCUGUUGUGGAGGCUGCUUUGAAUGAUUUCAUUGAUCAGAUUUUGAAGGAUUUCGUGAUAAAUAUGUGGUAUUCAGACCUUACUCCAGAUAUGGAGUUUCCUGAGCUGAUACGAGACUUAAUCAUGGACGCUAUUUCUGAAGUGUCUGUGAGGGUUAAAGAGAUAAACCUUGUUGACUUGCUCACGAGGGACAUAGUUGAUUUAAUAGGGGAUCAUAUAGACCUUUUCAGAAGAAAUCAAGAUGCUAUAGGUGUUGAUGUCAUGUUAACCUUAUCUUCUGAGGAGAGGGAUGAAAGAUUGAAGUUUCAUCUAUUGAAUUCUAAGGAGCUUCAUCCAGCUUUAAUAUCUCCAGAGAGUGAGUACAAGGUUCUCCAGAGGCUAAUGAGUGGAAUAUUAGCUACUGUACUGAGAAAACGAGAAGCUCAAUGUCCUGUCAUUCGCUGUAUAGCUCGGGAAAUUUUAACUUGUUUGAUCUUGCAACCUAUCAUGAACUUGGCAAGCCCUGCGUAUAUCAACGAGCUGAUUGAAUCCCUUCUACUUGUCCUUAAUGAUGAUGGUAUAAAUUGGAUGGCGGCCCUUGAACAUUCAACCAAUACAACUCAUAAUCAUGGCCAUUCUGAUGCUGGGGGUGGACAUGAUAAUCAUACAGCCUCUGCUGAUUGGGCACAAAUGCUGGAGGCUGCAAGUCAGAGAAGAACCGAAGUUCUUAUGCCUGAGAAUCUGGAGAACAUGUGGGCUAGAGGAAGGAAUUAUAGACGGAAACAGCAUAAAAAUACCAAAACCGGCUAUCAGGACCCUUCACUGAAAUGUCCUGCUAUUGAUGCAAUUCAAGAAGGAAUGGGUGCUAUGCAUUAUGUGGGUUCAGAUCCACACCUAAAUGUUGUAGGCACAAAUAGGUCAGAGUCUUCACCGGAUCCUGACAAGGAACUCUGUUCUGAAGUAGACCAUCAUGUUGAUGAGGUGAAGGAUAUCAGGGAUAUCCCUUCUAAAAAAUUUAAAGAUCUAAAGAGAUCCAACAGUGCUUGUCUCCUGGGAAACCAACCUCUUCUUAAGGUAUGCUCCCCAAGGUCAGAGGUGCACAACCCUGAAUCUGAGAAACAUGGUGAGGGAUAUCGGGGAAAGAGUGGUUCUGAAAUGGUUGUGAGAAGAGACGGACAUUCUGUUCCAAAGCUUCGGUGCCGGGUUAUGGGAGCAUAUUUUGAGAAACUAGGAUCCACUUCUUUUGCUGUAUAUUCAAUUGCAGUGACUGAUGGUCUAGAGAAAACUUGGUUUGUUAGAAGAAGAUACAGGAAUUUUGAGCGAUUGCAUCGACAUCUAAAAGAUAUUCCCAAUUAUUUGCUACAUUUGCCUCCUAAAAGGAUAUUUUCCUCAAGCACAGAGGAUGCAUUUGUCUAUCAGCGUUGCAUUCAGUUUGAUAAAUAUCUCCAGGAUCUCCUAUCAAUAGCUAAUAUUGCUGAACAACAUGAGGUGUGGGACUUUUUAAGUGUUUCCUCAAAGAACUACUCCUUUGGGAAAUCUUCUUCAAUGAUGAGGACCCUGGCAGUCAAUGUAGAUGAUGUUGUGGAUGAUAUUGUACGACAGUUUAAAGGUGUUUCAGAUGGUUUAAUUCGAAAGGUUGUUGGUUCAUCAUCCCCUUCUUCCAGGUCAACCAAUCAGAACAUGUAUUGGAGCAUGGAUGAGAUGGAUAAAAGUGUUCCAAGGCAGACUAAUACAGAGUCCGCGUUAAGCUCUGAUAAUGAGGAAGGUGAAAAGGAAGCUAAUUUUGGUCAUGAAAAUCUUGAUAAAGAAGCAGAAGAUAAUGAGUGCAAUUCUGAGAAUGAAUUUAGCUUAAAGGAAGAUUCACAACUUUUAACAAACCAUGGUAAUGAAUCUACUAACUUGGAUAUGGAUAGAAAACAUGAUGUAGCAAUGGAAGCUAAGGUUGGAAAGGAUGUUCCAACUACAACUUUCAAUCCAACUUCUGAUAAUAUGGACGAUCCAGUUGGAGUUCCACCUGAGUGGACCCCACCUAACGUGACUGUUCCUAUUUUGAAUUUGGUUGACAAUGUCUUUCAGCUUAAGAAAAGAGGUUGGUUAAGAAGACAGGUCUUUUGGAUUUCAAAACAGAUAUUACAGGUGGUGAUGGAAGAUGCUAUUGAUGAUUGGAUCCUAAGUGAGAUUCAUUGGCUUCGCAGAGAGGAUACCAUUGCCCAAGGGAUUCGGUGGGUCCAAGAUAUCCUCUGGCCUGGUGGUACAUUUUUUUUAAGAAUACAGACCCCUCAGGUGUUCAUUGGUGGUGGCAGUGCAUAUGAUCAAAAGCCUUUACCAAGCAUAAGUGAAUCUGGUGGAAGCAAGAUGACCAAAUCACAGUCAGGAUCUUUUGAGCUACAGCUUGAGGCUAUUCGUAGAGCAAGUGACUUGAAGAAAUUUCUCUUUGAAUCAAAGCUUGAAUAACAAUAUAGCAAAUUCAAAGUGUUAAAAGGAGAGAGUGAAAGAUAGUAGUCUGAGAGUGGGAAAGGACCAUCCUGCUGAUGGCUUCCGAAAAUCUUGUGCAACCAAUUCCGUGAUUUGAUGGUCAUUAUGACCAUUGAAGCAUUCUGAUGGAGAAUAUCUUGAGACACAGGGAGUGUUGCCAGGUUGGUGUAGAUGUAAUGGCAACACCAGUAGAUAGUGUGGCUCUCACAAAUGCAUAACAAAAGCAGCAUGAUGCCAUGAAAUUAAGACUUAAAAGCCAAGAAUUAUUUGUUUCAACUCAUUGAAUGUUCUAUCCUUGGAACUAUUCUUUGCAAAGAUGCUUUUAAGGAUAUUUGGGAUUCAAUGAAGAAAAAGUAUCAAGGCUCCUCAAGAGUUAAACAUGCUCAACUCAAGCUUUGAGAAGAGACUUUGAAGUCCUUUAGAUGAAGGAAGGUGAAUUUUUAACCAGUUAUUGUACAAGGACCUUGGGUAUUGAUGUGCGAUUUGCCGGUCAGAAGAUGGAUGACACAACCAUUGUUGAAAAAGUUCUAUGCUCAUUAACACCAGUUUGGUUAUGUGCUCAAAUGAAGAAUCCAGCAAUAUUGAUGAUCUCUUCCUUGAUGAAUUUCGAAGUUCUUUGUUGGCCAAUGAAGAAAUGAUGAGCAGAAAAAUGUUAUGAAAUUUUUAUUAGCAAAGGUGCUUGUGAAAAUUUUUAGCCUAUUCCAAGUGUCACUGCAGUUGUGAAAAUGUGUUCAAACAGGCUAUUCUUUCUGAAAAUUGGAAGCACUCAAUCUGUUUUGAUGGUCAAAGUUAUUUUUUAUGUUGGUUGUGGCAAUAUUGUUUUGGCCAUUUAAACUUCAGUGGAUUGAAGAUCCUUGAACAAAAAGACAUGGUGACAAGUCUUCCACGAAGUACUACUCCUUCUCAAGUUUGUAAAAAAUGUGUUACUUGCAAACAACAUUGUUCUUCAUUCCCUAGUGGCAAAUCAUGGAGAGAAAAAAGUGUUACGUAAUUGUUGCAUUCACAUAUUUGUGGUCCAAUAAAUUUGACUUCUAAUGAAGGUAAAAAAUUACUUUCACUAAUGAUUUUUCUAGCCAAUUUGGGUCUAUUUUCUAUAGGAAGAAUUAGAAGCUUUCUCUUCAUUUAAAAGCUUCAACGAUUGGGUUGGAACUGGAUCUAAAAGGACUAUUAAGUCUCUUCAAUUCAAAUAAACCAUGGUGAAGAGUAUUGUUCACAUGAAUUUUCUAUCUUUUGUGAAAAACACGGAAUCUAAAAGGAGUUGACAAUAGUGUAUAUACACCACAACAAAAUGGUGUCUUAGAGAAAAGAAAUCUAGAAUCGUUCUUAACUAAGAGUAGUGUUUCAAAAAGAUUUUAGAAAUUGUUAAUUGGAGCAUUCACAUUCUAAAUAGAAGUCUCAAAUUUGUUGUGAAGAAUAUGACACUAGAGGAGACAUGGAGCAAAAGAAAACCAAAUGUAGGUCAUUUCAGGAUUUUUGGGUUUUUUUUGUGUAUUGCUUAUGCCGGAUCAAAAAAGACCAAAGUUUGAUGACAAAGGUGAAAAAUAUAUAUUUUGUGGUGUUAAGUGAUCAGUCAAGAGAAGAGUGUAUAAGCUUUAUAAUCUUACCAUUAUUAGUAGUGGUGAUGUUGGUUUCAAUGAAGAUAAAUUCUAGAAAAAUAACAUAUGCAACCAAGAAAAUUCUUGCAAAUUUUGAUGGGGAUAAUUAAUAUGAAGACUUCCAACAGCCAAUUUGAAGAGGAGCGACCUCAACUUGCAAGAAGAAGGGCUGCAUGAAUGUCUGAUUAUGAGAUGGAGCUCCAGCAGCUUUAGUUGGCUUAAUUGGUCAGAAGCAGUACAAACGUUGUGCCAGUGAUAUAUAUUACUUUAC